rnacentral:rRNA from 1 species
UACGUAGGGACCAAGCGUUGUUCGGAUUUACUGGGCGUAAAGUGUGCGCAGGUGGCCGCGCAAGUCGAGUGUGAAAUCCCCGAGCUUAACUUGGGAAUUGCGCUCGAAACUACGUGGCUCGAGUGUGGCAGAGGAAGGUGGAAUUCCACGUGUAGCGGUGAAAUGCGUAGAGAUGUGGAGGAACACCGAUGGCGAAGGCAGCCUUCUGGGCCAACACUGACGCUCAUGCACGAAAGCGUGGGGAGCAAACAGG